GUGCUCUCUUGAAGCACACGUACUAAACCUAGAAUGACACAGCGAAGAAAAGCACGGUCCCCGUGCAAGAAUUACAUGCAAACUGGAGAAGCAUCCCCUAUUUUA
ensembl:snRNA U6 U6 spliceosomal RNA